rnacentral:rRNA from 1 species
ACGGAGGGUGCGAGCGUUAAUCGGAAUCACUGGGCGUAAAGCGCACGUAGGCGGUGUCGUAAGUCGGAUGUGAAAGCCCUCGGCUCAACCGGGGAACUGCAUUCGAUACUGCGAUUCUUGAGUGCCGUAGAGGGUGGCGGAAUUCCAGGUGUAGGAGUGAAAUCCGUAGAUAUCUGGCGGAACACCAGUGGCGAAGGCGGCCCCCUGGAUGGUAACUGACGCUCAGGUGCGAAAGCGUGGGGAUCAAACAG